CCCAAAACCCCAAAGGCCCAAGUAACUCCUCCAUAGUUUGCGCUCAUCUCAGUUCAAUGGCGGCCGCUUUCGCCGUCGGCUGCGCUCGGUCCGUCCUCCGCUCCUCCACCGUCCGUAAUGCAGCGGCAAGAAUUGCAACAGAAGCCAAGGCAGCUCGGUCUCCCUGUGGCAUCCUUAAGCGCAAACCUCAUUCUAAUCGCUUCUUCAGGUCUCCUGUUGAGAUGAGCUUCUGCGUGGAGUCGCUGUUGCCGUAUCACACUGCCACUGCUUCUGCAUUGCUGACUUCUAUGCUGUCUGUCUCUCAUCGUCGGGAUUACAAUUGGCUUUCUGAAGGCCAAGAUGAAACUAGAUGAAGACCAAGCAAGAAAGAUGGACUUGGCUUUUUUUGGCCAUCAAAUGUUGAAAGUAGUAGUGAAUGGUAUCUUCAAUAGAUUAGCCUGCAAAGAUGACAUUUGAUGAAUAUCCAGUGGAUUCAAGCAAAGUUUUGUGUACGGGACUCCUGCAUUCUGAGACUAUGACAGCUGAUAAGUUUAAGGGCUACAAGACACCUAAAUUGAUGUUGUGAGCUUUAAUGCGUAGAUGAAUUAGUAGAUAUUUUCUUGUUUUCUUACAUGGUUAAGUUUGAUAUAUACUUAAUUCUUUUGCUGUGUUUGCAAUUAGAAAUUAAAUUAAAAGAUGUAUGGAAGAUUUUAAUUUAAAGAAGAGUUGCUUUCGUACUUACCCUGUAAUACUGAUGUUAAAUAAUCACUGAAGGAGCAUAUUGUUUUCUUGUCU